rnacentral:rRNA from 1 species
UACGUAGGGUGCGAGCGUUGUCCGGAAUUACUGGGCGUAAAGAGCUCGUAGGUGGUUUGUCGCGUUGUCCGUGAAAACUCACAACUCAAUUGUGGGCGUGCGGGCGAUACGGGCAGACUGGAGUACUGCAGGGGAGACUGGAAUUCCUGGUGUAGCGGUGGAAUGCGCAGAUAUCAGGAGGAACACCGGUGGCGAAGGCGGGGUCUCUGGGCAAGUAACUGACGCUGGAGGAGCGAAAAGCGUGGGGGAGCGAACAGGG